UAUAUUAAAGGCUCUAUUUACGGCUUUAUUUACAAGUGAAAUCUUUUUAAACAGUGAAAUAGUUAUUAACCCAUUGAUGCCAAAAGCGUCGGUUUUUGAUCCGUUCUAAAACUUUUAAAUUUGGAAGAUUUCUUUUAACUUUUUUCAAUAUUCUUAUUAAACUAAAUUCUUAUUUGAGCAGUGCAUAUUGGGUUAUAUUUUAUCUUUUUUCUUGCACUUGAUAUUCUUUUAAUUUAGCAAGCGUGCACGUGUGUUGUUGUUCAUUGUGGUUUAUAUCGGUUCAGCAGUAUCCUCAAGCAAACUUAUUGCUCUCCUUAAGCAAACUUAUUGCUCAAGACCCUGCUGGAUCUACCCUAGCUCUGUUCAACCCCGAUCAGCGAAACAAGUGCCCCGAGAGCAGACUGGAAACCAUGUAUAAUGGAAGCUCUCAACCGGAUUAUUGAUGAACUGCAUGAGGGCAAGUUCCGAAAACUUUUGGAAAUGCCAAUUCAUACCAAUGUAUAUUAAUUUACCUUAAAUUCAUAAACGCAAUUUUAAUGGCAACACAAUUAAAGAGUUUCAUUGAUAUAGUAAUUUCUUUCUUUACAUAAAUCCCGCCGUCCAUUUUACAGAGACCCAAACAUUCAAAAUAAGCAAUCAUCAGAUAGGAAAACGAGGAUAUCUUCAUAUUUGCAAAUGCAAGUGUAAUGCUAAAACUUUUUUUUAUUAUUUUAGACUUGUAAUGCAAACCUUAUUAACGCUUAUUGGAUCUGGGUUUACCACGACUUUUCAACUUGGGCUCAGACUAAUGGAUUUAGUGGUGUCACCUUUCACCAAAUGAAAGAUAAAAGUAAAGAAUCUAGGACGGAAUAAACAGCAAAAAUCGUUCCGCGAAUCUAUCAGCCAGGAGCUGAUAUUGGCAACAGAAAGAAAUGAAAAGCAGCAGCUUGCCGCUGUAAGCAGAUACAGGAGUAGAACGGGGGGAGGAAGCAGUAUCCCUGAUGCCCCAAUUAUGGAUCCUCUGUUGAUCAGGAAUUGGUUUAUCUGUUUUUACGUUUUAAUGGAACUGUAAACAUAUAAUUUUGACUGGUCAUUCAUUUAAAAGAGUCGCUGGCAGAGUACUGUAAAAAACCGUUUUUUAUUUGAAUUUUCAUGUAUAUAUGUGUAUAUAUCAAUACAAUGAAGACAAAUUUCGCAAUUUUUUUAACGUACAGAUAAACUAUAAUAAACAAAUAGUGAGGACCAGCAUCUGAACCUAAAAUAUGGUUUAAUGACCGAAUUUGGUUCUUCAUUUACGCCAGCAUAAAGGACCACUAAGACCAUACCCUGCUCCACUGCUCCAGCUCCUAUACAACCUCAACCUCAACAUCAACAUCAACAUCAACAUCAACAUCAACAUCAACAUCAACCUCAACCUCAACCUCAAC
rnacentral:misc_RNA from 1 species